GGUUUUUCACUGCCGCCGAUGUGAAAGCGUUUAGUCGUAGUCGUUCGUGUUCUGCUUCUGCAUUCGGGGGCUCGUUGCUUCACGCGCCUACUCCCAUAACGCGGUCCCCGGGAGGUGGAAGGAGGGUGUCCACCGGUUUCAGUAAACAUUCUCGAGCGAAGGUCUAAUUAGUGAACUAUUGCCUGACACGAUACAUUUCCUCCAGACCUGGAACUCGCCAUGAAUUGAAUUAUCGCGCCCGCUUGUGUGCGCGCUGCAGACAACGUGGAAACGCAAUCUUGGGAGCAAGAGACCCCUUCACCGUUUGGCGUCUGGAAAUGCCAAACAGCUCGGCUCCAGCAAGGAAGGUGUCCUGGUUUCAUCCCGCAUGCCAAACGUGGAAUUGGCCAAACAUCACAAUGCAGGAUCCUUCUGACGAAAAAAAGAGCCUCAAGCCUCGCGACCACGGCGCCCAUCCAAGGGCGGGAGGCAACGCGGGCGUCCCGCCACAAGCUGGGGAUGGCUGUCGCUCGCUUUGCUUCUGUCGCUUUGCUUCUGUCGCUUUGCUUCUGUCGCUUUGCUUCUGUCGCUUUGCU